rnacentral:lncRNA from 1 species
AAUGAUUAUGGAAAGUACAUGCAAGAACUUGCUCGUCAAGGUGAAUUGGCGUUGGCACGAGAAUUGGCGAAAUAUGAGGCUGAAAAGGCUAGAGAUGAGGCAAAAGCUGCAGCUAUUUAACAAGCAUUUCAAGCUGAACAGAGAGAAAUAUAGCUACUUAGGCAAGAAAUGGAGUUGCUCAGAGAAGAAAGAAUUGCACACCGAGAUCGUGACAUUAUGAACACGCGUUUAGAAGGGAUGUCUCCAAAUUCUAAAUAUUUUUGGCAGUUGGAGAAAGCGGAUGUGGUGCAAAUGAGGCGUGCAAGAAAAGCGAGAUCAAGACAAGAUGGUCCUAGCACAACAAGACAAGAUGAUCCUAGCACCACAUAUUGGUUAAGUGGUGAUGAAUAGGGUACUUUUGUAAUCGGAGCCCAUAGUUUUCCAAUCACUUUGGGUUGUAAUUUAUUAUUUAUGUUGUUUCCGUUUUAUUGAAGUUAGUACUUUAUUUAAAGUGAGAGUACAUGUAUUUAAUUUUGUAAUAUAUUUAUCCUAAUAAUAGAAUCUUUAUUCAUCAAAUUGUUCACGUAUAAUGAUGUAAUUAUAAAACUCACCAAUUGGAAUUACAUAAACACACCAAAUAAAAUUACAUAAACAUACGAAAUAAUAAAAAACUCACUACAAAAUACACACCAAAUAAAAUUACAUAAACAUACCAAAUAAUUCACACCAAAUAAAAUUACAUAAACAUACGAAAUAAUAAAAAACUCACUACAAAAAACACAGCAAAUAAAAUUACAUAAACACACCAAAUACAAACAAACAUACUAAAUAAACUUAAGUAUCUUCAGCUUGUUUCAAUGCCCACUGGUGCUUUAUCUAGUCAAUUUGCUGAUCAUUGUGCAUAGAUGACCUUUGAAGUGCAGUAUAUCGUUGAAUGACCCUUUCAUUGUAACGUCCAUCCCUUUCUAAUGGCUCGUGUUGCACGAGUUCUUCGGUGGCAUCAUGCGCACAAUAUAUCCGUGUUCUUGAAUUGUUCAUCGUGUCUGGCUCUGGCUCAUAUUCAUCAACCGCAUCAUAAUCGAACU